UACGUAGGGGCCGAGCGUUGUCCGGAUUCAUUGGGCGUAAAGAGCGUGUAGGCGGCCGCUUAAGUCCUGCGUGAAAUCUCGGAGCUCAACUCCGAGCGGUCGUGGGAAACUGGGCGGCUAGAGUGCGGGAGAGGAGAGUGGAAUCCUGGUGUAGCGGUGAAAUGCGCAGAUAUCAGGAAGAACACCCGUGGCGAAAGCGGCUCUCUGGAACGGUACUGACGCUGAGACGCGAAAGCGUGGGGAGCGAACAGG
rnacentral:rRNA from 1 species